GCCUCGUUGGCGCAGUUAGGCAGCGCAGUUAGGCAGCGCGUCAGUCUCAUAAUCUGAAGGUCGUGAGUUCGAGCCUCACAUGGGGCA